rnacentral:lncRNA from 1 species
UGAGCCUUCCCACAAUGAAUACAAGUUAUUAUAACUUUCCAAAAUGAUUGGUUUGGUUAUCAAACAGUUCAUUGGGAUUUUAUGGCCAUUUCUCUAUUUUGGAGCUUUCAUUUUUAAGAAGUUGGUAUUAGAUCAAAACUCCUUAUAAAUGGCCUCAAAUGGAAAUUUUGGUAAUGCUAUCAUCUCUCAAACAUCGACGGUAGGCUGUGGAACCCUUGGUUCAGGUCUAGUGUCUUUCAGAAUGGUUUUAGGUUAUUGGGCAAAAUUUAGUUAAAAUGAACCUAUGGGUAUGAGCCCCACAUUUAAUCAAAACAAUAUUGAAUAAACAUUUUGAUGGUUCUAUUAAUUAUAGAAUGUCAAAUUUGAUAUGGUAGCAUAGUUCAUUUGUGAGCAUAAGGUUUUAAAUGAAUUUCAAGCACCUGGUCAAAAUCAGUUAGGACUUAUCAUUUUUGCCGAUUUCCAGCAUCACGUGCAGCCUCCAAUUAUUUUGCGCAAUUGUAGGGUUUUGGCUACAAUCAUGAGGGAUAAAACUUUUGAACAUCCUAAUUGCAAGCGUUCCCUCUUGCAUUUGUGAUAUAGGAUAGAGCUGAAUAGAUUUCUCUCCCUCUACGGGUUUGCUGAACCUCUCGCGUUUGCGAUAGUUUGCCUUGAUAGGACUUUAAGAUGGCAACAUAUUCCUUGAAUUCAUAAUUAAAAGUCAUUCUACCUAUUAAAAUCAUAUUCAGGGGUCUUUGAGAUUGUGAUAAGUGAUAAGUUGUCAAUUUGACAACUUAUUAGUAAUCUUUUAAGCUUAAAUUAUCAUGUUUUCCAUUGAUUUGAUGUUAAUCUCACGUAUAAUGCUCAUUUGUGCAGGUAAAGGUUGAAAAUAAAUAUGAUCAAUCCAUUCAAGUCAAUGGAAGGUCAAAUAUGAAAGAAAAAAGAGCCCUAAAAAAUCACAUAGACGUGUCAAGAGGCUACCCGCUUAAGCGGGUGGCCAAAAUGGCUAGAACAACCCCAUGUGCGCCCUAUAU